AGAUUGAACGCUGGCGGUAUGCUUAACACAUGCAAGUCGAACGGCAGCACAGUUAGUAGCAAUACUAAUGGGUGGCGAGUGGCGGACGGGUGAGUAACACGUAGGAAUCUACCCUAUAGCGGGGGACAACUAGAGGAAACUCUAGCUAAUACCGCAUAAUCUCGCAAGAGUAAAGCUGGGGCAACCUGGCACUAUAGGAGGAGCCUGCGUCUGAUUAGCUAGUUGGUGGGGUAAAGGCCCACCAAGGCGACGAUCAGUAGCUGGUCUGAGAGGACGGCCAGCCACACUGGGACUGAGACACGGCCCAGACUCCUACGGGAGGCAGCAGUUAGGGAAUUUUGACAAUGGGCGCAAGCCUGAUCGAGUGACGCCGCGUGCGGGAGGACGCCUUCGGGUGUAAACCGCUUUCCCUGGGACGAGCGAGGACGGUACCAGGGAAUAAGCCUCGGCUAACUACGUGCCAGCAGCCGC
rnacentral:rRNA from 1 species